GAACGCUGGCGGCGUGCCUAAUACCUGCACGUCGAGCGAACAGACGAGGAGCUUGCUCCUCUGACGUUAGCGGCGGACGGGUUAGUAACACGUGGAUAACCUACCUAUAAGACUGGGAUAACUUCGGGAAACCGGAGCUAAUACCGGAUAAUAUAUUGAACCGCAUGGUUCAAUAGUGAAAGACGGUUUUGCUGUCACUUAUAGAUGGAUCCGCGCCGCAUUAGCUAGUUGGUAAGGUAACGGCUUACCAAGGCAACGAUGCGUAGCCGACCUGAGAGGGUGAUCGGCCACACUGGAACUGAGACACGGUCCAGACUCCUACGGGAGGCAGCAGUAGGGAAUCUUCCGCAAUGGGCGAAAGCCUGACGGAGCAACGCCGCGUGAGUGAUGAAGGUCUUCGGAUCGUAAAACUCUGUUAUUAGGGAAGAACAAAUGUGUAAGUAACUAUGCACGUCUUGACGGUACCUAAUCAGAAAGCCACGGCUAACUACGUG
rnacentral:rRNA from 1 species